CCAUGUAAAUUAUCAUGUUAUGGUAAUGAUGUUGCGGUGAAUCCCGUUAGCACGGGGCAUAAAUGGUUAACCUGCUUAUCAUGUGUGAUGCGAGUCAUUGUAUAACCAUUCAGUGGCUCACCGGGUAGCGUCGGCACUGCAACAUCUACUCUACUCAUUACUUAACUCAAGGCUACUUCGGUAGCCUUUUCUUUUCCAC
rnacentral:sRNA from 27 species